AAACAGUGUCAUGUGCCUUGUUGCAGCUUAAUUCCUGGCUCCCUUCUAGUAGCUCACAUUGCAGUCUGCUGCUACCAGAAAAGUUAUGGAUACAUCACUGUAAGAAAUGCAGCCACCUUACUCAGGAUUGAUGGGCAGGACCCUUUAUUUCACACAAAGSUUUAACCUCUCUUCUGUCAGCUUGCCAUUUCCCCAAUUACAGUAUCUAAAGAAUGAUCCUGGGGUUGCACUAAUUGUGCACUGUACACAAACUGACCUUAAAUCCUGUCCCGUCCAGUCAUUUUCAAGGCUCAGCUACCUCAGCACCUCUUCUUCUGUAGCUCCGUCUAUGACAGCACUGUCCAACUAUGAUAACACAUUUUCUGUAUUCUCUGCAAGCAACUGUUCUAACGCUUCUCUGACAAUGACCAUGUGUUAUUGCAGGUGCAUUGUGAAACCCCCACCAGACUGGAGGAAAGAAGAGUUCAGCGCGUGCUCUGGACAAACACUCUAAGGCCAGCACAUCCUGCCGCAAGCCCCAGGAUACAAUAGUCUUCUGUGCUAGCUGUUGAGGAUCAYGGAGACUGCAUCAGCGUGAUUCGAGGUGUCGGCCAGGGAACGUUUGCAAACAUGGAAAGCUCCUGCUGUUGUGUUUUCACGCUACUUAUGUGACRGUGAAGAAUCAAACAGGAUUAUGCACAAGUGAUGGGCAAACAACACUGAAUGCAGCUGUUAAAUAUGUCUUUACUAGGAGGUCUUGGAAGACCUGAGGCACUACCAAAGUAGCUUUUUGUUGUGUUACGUACCACUGCAUGCAUUACUAAUAGUGAACAUUCAUGGCAAAUACUUCUCAUUUCCCACUAGGAAAUACAGAGGAAGAUAAGGGGAAAUGAUGAAGAGCGUUAACCUGGAGCCCGUAUUACUAAGAGUGAUGCAUGUUAAUUCAUUAAGAACAAGUAAAAAUGUGGUAGCUCUGUAGGGUCAAGAUGGAGAAGAAUAUAAAUAAUUUUGUAUCAGUAUUUGUUUGAUGAUUCAAGUCAACACAUGUUGAGUAGUCUGAUCAUACUACAGGCGCAAAGCUCCCUCUGCCCAUAAAGGCUAAUAAAGGCCCUAAUUGAUAGCA
rnacentral:lncRNA from 1 species